GGCAUGGUGGCCAAGUGGUAAGGCAUUGGUCUCGUAAACUGAAGAUUUUGGGUUUGGUGCCCAUCCAUGCCU